rnacentral:rRNA from 1 species
CAGCAGCCACGGGAAUACGAAGGGUGCAAGCGUUAAUCGGAAUUACUGGGCGUAAAGCGUGCGUAGGCGGUGAGUUAAGUCUGCUGUGAAAUCCCCGGGCUCAACCUGGGAAUGGCAGUGGAUACUGGCUCGCUAGAGUGUGUCAGAGGGUGGUGGAAUUCCCGGUGUAGCGGUGAAAUGCGUAGAGAUCGGGAGGAACAUCAGUGGCGAAGGCGGCCAUCUGGGACAACACUGACGCUGAGGCACGAAAGCGUGGGGAGCAAACAGGAUUAGAUACCCCCGUAGUCCCUGUCUCUUAUAC